UCCGGUUGCGCUGUGUGUGAUAACGUUGCACUGCCGUGGUGCUAGCUAGUGCUAAGCUAGUCAAGUUCAACAGCCAGUAUUCUCAACUUGUGGCAGUAAGAUUCUUUCCCGUAAGAUGGUUGGAAAUGUGUAGUUGCAGUUGGACUGACCUUUUACUGGAUUCCUCCAAUCACGCAAUACCAUCAGCGCUAGGAGGGUGAAGGAUGGUGAUAUGGCUGCAACUGAACGGGUGAUUGAGGAGACUGUUCUUGGGAUCUAUGUGACUAGAGUUGAGGGAGCUGAAGCCAUGGACCCCCUUGCCAAUACUGGAGUGGUAUUAGGUGGUGUGGUUCUAGAAGACCUGGGCAGUGUGUUCCUUGCCUUUGCAGUUCGGGCUGAUUUAUGCCUUAUAUAUUUAUAACCUUAUGAUUUAGAACUUGAGUUACCCUCCUACACUUUUGAUGUACUCCAAAAACUGUUUCUGGAACUAGAUGCUAACAAACUGUCUCAUAAAGCUCAAUUACUAAAUAUAAAGCUAUUCAGUGAGAUGUGGUCCAUACUGAGUAUUACACUUGUGACGUACUGUUGCACUUUCUGAAAACUUUAAU